rnacentral:rRNA from 1 species
UUUAAUUCGAUGCAACGCGAAAACCUUACCCACCUUUGACAUGUACGGAAUCCUUUAGAGAUAGAGGAGUGCUCGAAAGAGAGCCGUAACACAGGGUGCUGCAUGGCUGUCGUCAGCUCGUGUCGUGAGAUGUUGGGUUAAGUCCCGCAACGAGCGCAACCCUUGUCAUUAGUUGCUACGAAAGGGCACUCUAAUAAGACUGCCGGUGACAAACCGGAGGAAGGUGGGGAUGACGUCAAGUCCUCAUGGCCCUUAUAGGUGGGGCUACACACGUCAUACAAUGGCUGGUACAAAGGGUUGCCAACCCGCGAGGGGGAGCCAAUCCCAUAAAGCCAGUCGUAGUCCGGAUCGCAGUCUGCAACUCGACUGCGUGAAGUCGGAAUCGCUAGUAAUCGUGGAUCAGCAUGUCACGGUGAAUACGUUCCCGGGUCUU